rnacentral:rRNA from 1 species
AUUCGCGGCCUAUCAGCUUGUUGGUGGGGUGAUGGCCUACCAAGGCGACGACGGGUAGCCGGCCUGAGAGGGUGAUCGGCCACACUGGGACUGAGACACGGCCCAGACUCCUACGGGAGGCAGCAGUGGGGAAUAUUGCGCAAUGGGCGGAAGCCUGACGCAGCGACGCCGCGUGAGGGAUGAAGGCCUUCGGGUUGUAAACCUCUUUCAGCUCCGAAGAAGCGAGAGUGACGGUAGGAGCAGAAGAAGCACCGGCUAACUACGUGCCAGCAGCCGCGGUAAUACGUAGGGUGCAAGCGUUGUCCGGAAUUAUUGGGCGUAAAGAGCUCGUAGGCGGCUCGUCGCGUCUGCUGUGAAAGCCCGGGGCUUAACCCCGGGUCUGCAGUGGGUACGGGCGGGCUAGAGUGCGGUAGGGGAGACUGGAAUUCCUGGUGUAGCGGUGAAAUGCGCAGAUAUCAGGAGGAACACCGGUGGCGAAGGCGGGUCUCUGGGCCGUAACUGACGCUGAGGAGCGAAAGCAUGGGUAGCGAACAGGAUUAGAUACCCUGGUAGUCCAUGCCGUAAACGUUGGGCGCUAGGUGUGGGCCGCAUUCCACGUGGUCCGUGCCGCAGCUAACGCAUUAAGCGCCCCGCCUGGGGAGUACGGAAU